rnacentral:rRNA from 1 species
UACGGGGGGGGGCAAGCGUUGUUCGGAAUUACUGGGCGUAAAGGGCGUGUAGGCGGGACGGUAAGUCGGGCGUGAAAUCCCUAGGCUCAACCUAGGAACUGCACUCGAAACUACCAUUCUUGAGUGUCGGAGAGGAAAGCGGAAUUCCUGGUGUAGAGGUGAAAUUCGUAGAUAUCAGGAGGAACACCAGUGGCGAAGGCGGCUUUCUGGACGAUAACUGACGCUGAGACGCGAAAGCGUGGGGAGCAAACAGG